rnacentral:rRNA from 1 species
UACGGGGGGGGCAAGCGUUGUUCGGAAUUACUGGGCGUAAAGGGCUCGUAGGCGGCCAACUAAGUCAGACGUGAAAUCCCUCGGCUUAACCGGGGAACUGCGUCUGAUACUGGAUGACUUGAGUUUGGGAGAGGGAUGCGGAAUUCCAGGUGUAGCGGUGAAAUGCGUAGAUAUCUGGAGGAACACCGGUGGCGAAGGCGGCAUCCUGGACCGAGAUUGACGCUGAGGCGCGAAAGCAUGGGGAGCGAAACAGG